rnacentral:rRNA from 1 species
AAUGAACGUUGGCGGCGUGGAUUAGGCAUGCAAGUCGUACGCACAGCAAUGUGAGUGGCGCAAGGGUGAGUAAUGCGAAGGUAACCAACCCUGGAGUUGGGCAUAGCCGCGGAAACUGCGGGUAAUUCCCAGCGAUGUUACGAGGUGGCAUCAUCUUGUAACCAAAGGUGUGAUUCCGCUCUGGGACGGGCCUUCGUGGUAUUAGCUAGUUGGUAAGGUAACGGCUUGCCAAGGCUACGAUGCCUACCGGGUGUGAGAGCAUGACCCGGCACACUGGAACUGAGACACUGUCCAGACACCUACGGGUGGCUGCAGUCGAGAAUCUUCGGCAAUGGGCGAAAGCCUGACCGAGCGACGCCGCGUGAGGGAUGAA